rfam:Delta proteobacterium MLMS-1 ctg953, whole genome shotgun sequence.
GCGCCCGUAGCUCAGCUGGAUAGAGCAGCGGCCUUCUAAGCCGCAGGCCGCAGGUUCGAACCCUGCCGGGCGCG